AAAAAUACCAUUUUUGCAGCCAAAACAGCAAUCCAAAUACUUCCCAAAUAUGUCAAAUAUUCUACCCUUAAAUUCAACAUAGCCCUUCUCCAGAAACUGGCUAAAAGAUGUUUCUGUAAACCUUCAGAAAAGGAAAGAAAAGGGCAUCAAGAUUCCUGUCGCCCCUAAAAUUCCAUGGUUUUGAUUGGAAGCAGUUUUUUUUAACCAGAAGUAUGAAAGGACUGGGAGGACUUAUGAGAAGACAGUCAAAAACCUGUAGUUUGGAAUAAGGAUGUCCAUGUGUUCUGCUUUUGGGGUGAAGAGGCCUUGAUUUAGAGUAUUCAGAUUUGCACUUGGGGUGCACAACUUCCAUUACCUCAAGGUCCACACAAAGCGUU